CUGUAUUGGGGCAUUACAGGUAACUUAACGCUUCUCAAAUACAACUUUGACUAGCAAGGCAAUGCACUCACUGGAAAAAAAAUGUUUUUACAAUGAAACUGUAGAAGUGUUGCAUAAAAAAUACUUCUAGACGUUUAGAAAACAGAAAAGCAAUUUGUUUUACUAAUUUUUUUCUAUAAGCGGGUAAUUCUAUCUUUUUUCCUCCAGUCCUUUUAGUUCUGACAGCUCCGUAAUUUAAGCAGGAAAGGGGAAAACUGCAAAGCGUGGUGGCCAGAGGGAAACCAGAGGCGUGUCUGCCGGCACCUGCAGGAGAGAGCCACGUGGUGCUUGCACGUGUUGCAAGGGAAAAAAGUAUCAAAGUGAGGUUGGCAAAGCCUUGAGCAUUAUGCAACCUCCUGUAGCUGCUGAAAAUGCUUUAACAAAAUUUAAAAACUAUUUACAAACGAAAGACUCUCUUAAGGAGUAAAGCCUCUUGUCCUUGUUCUCUAAGAGUAGAGAUGCUCCUACAAGUCAGCCUGGUGGCUAAUUAGGGACAGUCACUCUACGAGAAGAAACAAGAAAACAGCUCGGAGCCCCCAGGCUGCUGUUUGCAGGAUCUCUGAGAUCUAAGCUGGAGUUGACUUUGAGGUCGCCCUGCAUCUACCGACUCCGAGGUUCUGAAGCUGCGCCCAGAGCAGGGCCCUGAGAAGCAAGAGAAAUAAGACACCGCAGCCGGCCUCCCAGAACCCAGGGAGGAGGCAGCGAGCCAGCAAGCCUCAGUGGCGGCCUGGAGACCAGCAGACCGUGGGCACCCCGUGGAGAAGAAUCUCACCCAAGCCGGGGCAGAGGAAGGGACAGGCCCGAGCUGUGUCUUACCUCGGUCCCAUCAGACUUUACCGGGCUUGUGAAUCACCUGGGGAUCGUGCUGCAGGGCAGCUUCCUGUUUCCCAAGAAAUCUUUGCCUACCCAAAUUGUGAAGAUAUUCUCCUGGAGUCCUUCUUCAAGCUUUAGCUUUUACAUUUAAGUCUGUGGUCCCUUUUGAAUUAUUUAUUUAUUUUUUGUAUUUUGUGAAAUAAGGGUUGAGAUUCAUUUUCUUCCGUAUGGAUGUUCACUUGUUUCAACAUAAUUUGCUUAAAAGGCUGUUUUCUCUAAUGAAUUAUUUUGGCACCUUUGUAAAAAAUCAGUUGAUUGUAUAUGUCAGUUGUACAUAUGUAUACAUAUACAUGUAUAUUCACUUAAGCACUAGUAUAUUUAAAUGCUGGUGUAUUUUUUUAAUCUAAAUUUAUAAUAAUAGCAAAAUCCAAAGAAUGAUAUGUUGUUUUAUUACAUAAAGAAGAAGGGGA